CGGAGGUACUCGAGUGGCGAACGGGUGAGUAACACGUGGGUGAUCUGCCCUGCACUCUGGGAUAAGCCUGGGAAACUGGGUCUAAUACCGGAUAGGACCAUGCUUUAGUGUGUGUGGUUGAAAGUUUUUUCGGUGUAGGAUGAGCCCGCGGCCUAUCAGCUUGUUGGUGGGGUAAUGGCCUACCAAGGCGGCGACGGGUAGCCGGACUGAGAGGUUGGUCGGCCACAUUGGGACUGAGAUACGGCCCAG
rnacentral:rRNA from 1 species